GCAAUACGUUGGCUGUUACAGAAAUUAAAAAAUGUUUCCUAAUAAAAGCAAAAAAAUGAAUUUUCUAAAAUUAAAUCGCAAAUUGUUAUUCGUCAUUAUGGGUAUCUGGCUGAUAAUCGUUGGCUGCAACUGGUGCCUGCAAAAAUGGGUAGCACUGAAACGGCGACUGAAUAACGAAUGGGCAGCAUUCUGUCAGAAGUUUAUAGCAGCCUAUUGGUUCCUAAAUGGCUAUAUACUCAUAUACCUAUGGAUAUUUCGUUACUAAAACAGACUCUAGGAUAUCUUUCGCUGAAAAGCAUCGCACAACUCAAAGAUGCAAUAAAUACACGGUUUUGGGGCAGAUCCUCCUAACCCAAAAAGGGAGCUACGAUUUGAUCUAUCGCUCAUCGACGAUGGAAAAGAGGAAACAACAACAAAAUCAGCGGCGCAUCUCAGUAGAAUACACUUUUAUCUCGAACACUCAACUGAGAAAUAAGUAUCUAAACAAAGAAGAAGUAUCUUAAAGUUACAGAGAUGCAGAAACACACACAAAUUAGUUGAAAGUAUCCAAACAGCUGCAAGAUAUUGUAUCUGAGGCAAAAACACAACCAAGAAAGAUGCUGUUGUACAUAACAAAAACAUAACACAAUGUUUGAAACAGUAAAAUGAAUCUAUUGAAUGACUGUUUAUCUGUA
rnacentral:sRNA from 1 species